AUUGAACGCUGGCGGCAGGCUUAACACGUGCAAGUCGAGCGGAGAUGAGGUGCUUGCACCCUAUCUUAGCGGCGGACGGGUGAGUAAUGCUUAGGAAACUGCCUAUUAGUGGGGGACAACAUUCCGAAAGGAAUGCUAAUACCGCAUACGUCCUACGGGAGAAAGCAGGGGAUCUUCGGACCUUGCGCUAAUAGAUGAGCCUAAGUCGGAUUAGCUAGUUGGUGGGGUAAAGGCCUACCAAGGCGACGAUCUGUAGCGGGUCUGAGAGGAUGAUCCGCCACACUGGGACUGAGACACGGCCCAGACUCCUACGGGAGGCAGCAGUGGGGAAUAUUGGACAAUGGGGGGAACCCUGAUCCAGCCAUGCCGCGUGUGUGAAGAAGGCCUUAUGGUUGUAAAGCACUUUAAGCGAGGAGGAGGCUACUGAGACUAAUACUCUUGGAUAGUGGACGUUACUCGCAGAAUAAGCACCGGCUAACUCUGUGCCAGCAGCCGCCGUAAGAC
rnacentral:rRNA from 1 species